UACGGAAGGCAGCAGUGGGGAAUAUUGCACAAUGGGCGCAAGCCUGAUGCAGCCAUGCCGCGUGUAUGAAGAAGGCCUUCGGGUUGUAAAGUACUUUCAGUCGUGAGGAAGGUGUUAAGGUUAAUAACCUUAGCAAUUGACGUUAGCGACAGAAGAAGCACCGGCUAACUCCGUGCCAGCAGCCGCGGUAAUACGGAGGGUGCGAGCGUUAAUCGGAAUUACUGGGCGUAAAGGGCACGCAGGCGGUUAAUUAAGUUGGAUGUGAAAUCCCCGGGCUUAACCUGGGAAUGGCAUUCAAGACUGGUUAGCUAGAGUCUUGUAGGAGGGGGUAGAAUUCCAUGUGUAGCGGUGAAAUGCGUAGAGAUGUGGAGGAAUACCGGUGGCGAAGGCGGCCCCUGGGACAAAGGCUGACGCUCAUGUGCGAAAGCGUGGGGAGCAAACGAGGGAUUAGAUACC
rnacentral:rRNA from 1 species